GACGAACGCUGGCGGCGUGCUUAACACAUGCAAGUCGAGCGGUAAGGCCCUUUCGGGGGGUACACGAGCGGCGAACGGGUGAGUAACACGUGGGUGACCUGCCCUCAGCUCUGGGAUAAGCCCGUAGGGAAACCGGGUCUAAUACCGGAUAUGACUCCAUGACGCAUGUUGUGGGGUGGAAAGCCUUGUGCGGCUGAGGAUGGGCCCGCGGCCUAUCAGCUUGUUGGUGGGGUGAUGGCCUACCAAGGCGACGACGGGUAGCCGGCCUGAGAGGGCGACCGGCCACACUGGGACUGAGACACGGCCCAGACUCCUACGGGAGGCAGCAGUGGGGAAUCUUGCGCAAUGGGCGAAAGCCUGACGCAGCGACGCCGCGUGAGGGAU
rnacentral:rRNA from 1 species